AGAUGAGUCAGGAGGGGCCUCAAAGACCAACCAAAUGAUUAGAUUUUAGGGCUUUGAGCCUCAAAACUGAUAUAUGCCUGACAUCUGAGGAGAGGGAUGGGACUGGAGAUUGAGUUACCAACUCAAAGGCAAUGAUUCAACCAACUCUGCCUACGUAAUGAAACCCUAAUAAAAUCUCUGGAUACUGAAGUUCAGGAGCAGCAGAUGCAUGGGCGCAGGAGGGCGGAGAGGAGCUACUCCACGCAAAGGUCAGGAGGGGCGGCCAUGAGAAGAUACCCCUUGUCCAAGGUAAGGAGCAGCGGCUGUGCUUUGCUGGAGCAGCCAUGAAGAGAUACCCCACGUCCAAGGCAGGUGGGAUCAAACCCGUACCCCUCCGCAUUGGAAGAAGCUUUAAUCAUUGGACCACCAGGGAAAUCUGGAAACUACCCAACUGACCCAGAGUGAUACCAGGAGCUCAGUGCAAGCACAUGCAGAGGUUCCCCAAAGAUGGGGCCAAUAUCAAGUUUCCACAGGUAAUAAAGCCUUUGUCAUCUGUCAUCAAGAGUCCAUUUCUCCAUCCUUUAAUUCUGGACUGGACUUGUAAGUUUUUUGGCCAAUCAAAUGAACCAGAAAGGACAUCAAGCUGCUACUGAACAGAGAUCUUAAGAAGUCUUGCAGCUUUCUUUGUGUCACUAUCAGAACAGACUGAGUGGAGCUGAGGGGAGAUGGAGACCAUGUGGAGCAGAAAUAAGCAGACCAGCUGAGAUCCAACCACCAGAUGAAUGAAUGAGGACAUCCUAGGCUUUCCGUCCCCAGCAGGGCUGCCGACUACAAAGAUCAGCUGAUUCCACUUAGACCAGACAUUUUGGGCUGUCCCAGUCAUCUCAGUCAACUCACAGAACACGAGCUAGAUAAUAAAUAUUUGUGGUUUUUAGGUACUAGGUUGUGGGACACUUGGAUCAUCUUUUCCUUUUGAUAUAUAAAUUCUAUCACUAUCCUUGAAUAUUUCAGUGUCCGUAUAGAGAUUUUACAGACAUCCUUUAUUAUAUGAUUUGGCUUCUUUGAAGAACUUUAC
ensembl:lncRNA